rnacentral:rRNA from 1 species
GCUACGGGAGGCAGCAGUGAGGAAUAUUGGUCAAUGGGCUUACGCCUGAACCAGCCAAGUCGCGUGCGGGAAGACUGCCCUAUGGGUUGUAAACCUCUUUUGUCAGGGAGCAAUUGGCGCUACGUGUAGCGUUAUCGAGAGUAACUGCAGAAAAAGCAUCGGCUAACUCCGUGCCAGCAGCCGCGGUCAUACCGAGGAUGCGAGCGCUAUCCGGAUUUAUUGGGUUUAACGGGUGCGUAGGCUGAAUGCCAAGUCAGCGGGAAAAUCGCGGGGCUAAACCUCGCGCCGCCGUUGAAACUGGCGUUCUUGAGUGGGCGAGAAGUAUGCGGAA